rnacentral:rRNA from 1 species
GACGAACGCUGGCGGCGUGCCUAAUACAUGCAAGUAGAACGCAGUUGCGAACGGGUGAGUAACGCGUAGGUAACUGCCUCAUAGCGGGGGAUAACUAUUGGAAACGAUAGCUAAUACCGCAUACCGUGUGUUGGACCUCAGUUGUAUUAGCCAGUUGGUGAGGUAAAGGCUUACCAAGGCGACCAUACAUAGCCGACCUGAGAGGGUGAUCGGCCACACUGGGACGGAGACACGGCCCAGACUCCUACGGGAGGCAGCAGUAGGGAAUCUUCGGCAAUGGACGGAAGUCUGACCGAGCAACGCCGCGUGAGUGAAGAAGGUUUUCGGAUCGUAAAGCUCUGUUGUUAGAGAAGCGGUAACUAACCGGAAAGGGGGGGCAAACUACGGGCCAGCAGCCGCGUUAAUA